CUCAGCAAUAGGCUUCACCUGGUCCAUCGAUCCCAACGAUCAAUAAACUGUGUUAUUAAACAAGUUUGUUCGUUCGGCUCGAGUUAUUAGGUGAGCCUUGUC